AUGGCAGCGUUCAAUCAGUUCUACAAUUUAGUAGGUAGCAAUUUUGGAGCCCUAAACACUGCGGUGGUGGCAUUAUUGCCCAAAAAGGACGGAGCACUGACUAUCAACGACUACCGGCUAAUCAGUCUCAUCCACUCCAUAGCAAAGUUGAUAUCCAAAGUGCUGUCCCUUAGGCUUGCCAACGUGAUCCACACGCUCAUCUCACCAGCACAGUCAGCAUUUCUUCGGACAAAAUGCAUCCACGAUAGCUUCCUAUACGUUCAAAGCUGCAUCAAGGCCCUACAUAGACGAAAAACACCGGCUCUGCUUCUUAAGUUA
rnacentral:rRNA from 1 species